rnacentral:lncRNA from 1 species
CGUCCAACAUUUAUUAACGAGCCUCAACCAAAUAUAGUAUCAAUUUAACAAUGUCUUUAGAGAGAUGUUAAUCCUUCAAACGCAUUUUGUUCUAUUGAUGUAAUCUCAUUAUUUCCCGGAUUUCUGGAAACAAGAAAAAAAAAGUUGUUAAAACCUUCAACAGUCCAAACUGACAAAUCCACGUACAGGCAUUUUGUGUACUGUUUAUAACCGAAGA